rnacentral:rRNA from 1 species
CCUACGGGUGGCUGCAGUGGGGAAUUUUGGACAAUGGGGGCAACCCUGAUCCAGCCAUGCCGCGUGAGUGAAGAAGGCCUUCGGGUUGUAAAGCUCUUUCGGUGGGAACGCGGUACUCACAGAAGAAGCACCGGCUAACUACGUGCCAGCAGCCGCGGUAAUACGUAGGGUGCGAGCGUUAAUCGGAAUUACUGGGCGUAAAGCGUGCGCAGGCGGCGCGUUAAGACAGGUGUGAAAGCCCCGAGCUUAACUUGGGAAUUGCGCUUGUGACUGGCGUGCUGGAGUGUGGCAGAGGGAGGUGGAAUUCCACGUGUAGCAGUGAAAUGCGUAGAGAUGUGGAGGAACACCGAUGGCGAAGGCAGCCUCCUGGCCGCACUGACGCUCAUGCACGAAAGCGUGGGGAGCAAACAGGAUUAGAUACCCUUGUAGUC